CUAACCUUCCUCUACUCCCUGGCCUAAGUGGUCCUACGUGGGUGGAGAACUUCCUUUGUUGACUUUUGAGCGGCCAUCUUAGAAAAAUCAGGGAAAGAAUGGGACUGGUCAGUAUAGGGUGCUGUUUAUAAGGAAGCCUUGUUUGUAGGAGUUGUUGAGACAAAUGUAAUUUAGAUUUUGAGAGAUCAAAAGAAGAAUGAUGGAGACAGGUACAACAGUUUAAGAAAAAUCAAAAAGGGCAGGGAUUUUGUGUCGGUGUAGUGCAUCUAGGCUCCCAGUUGAAAAGGCAACGGUAGUCUCAGAAUAGUUGGAGGAUGAUACAGUGUUGAUGGGAUUGAAGGGAGUUUUAGGCUAGAGAGGACUGAUGGGUCAAAGAACUCAAAGCUAGAAACUCAAAACAUUGUGAGCUUUGUUUAGAAAACACCCCAUUCCAAAACUGUUUACCCACCUUAAUAUAAAUACUUGUCCCCAACCUACUUAGGAAAACAGGUACUAAAUUGGACAUGGUCAAACGGGAGCACAACAUAUGCCAGGAAAGUGGUAGAGAAACUAUAAAUUGCUAUAAGGAGGAAAUUAAUAGGGCCUGAGAUAACCUGGGGAAGCACUAGGGGGAAAAGGAUUUAAACUGUAAACUGUAUAAAUUUAGGCUAUAAAUUUUAUAGCCUUUGAAAAGGUGUUGACACUGUGGGUAGAUCUGGCGACACUAUUUUAAAAACAUUUGAGUUGUAAAAUACAUUGAUAGAAAAUUUUGUACUGUCCAAAGGUAGCAGGCAGUCUACAAGUUGGCUGACUGCUGAAAUAGUGAGACUUUUGACCCACUAAAGUGGGUAAGAGCCUAAAUACACAAAGGAUCAUCAGAAUAGCAAAAACGAAGUAUCUUAGUACAGAAUAAGACCCUAAAAAGAGCUGUGGGAUAGAGGCAACAAGCCUGUCAUCUCAGCACUUGGGAGGCCGAGAGAAAAAUUGCUUCAUUGAAAACAGCACAACGCACUUUAGGAAAAGCUGGUUUCUUUAUUUUUUCUUUUUUUCUUUCUGGCAACUUCACUUCAGAUGGUUAGCAAGCAGCUUAAAACAAUUCUUAGGAGAUCCCAGAUUUUGAACUUAUCACAGUAUCAUUCAUGCAGAAUUAGUGGGGUCAGAGUGGUUUGAACUUAACUAUUUUUUUUUUUUUUUUGGCUUUAAGUCACAGAGCUCUGGUGCAAUUUUUGUCACUGUUGCUAUGACCCAUAAGUACUUUUCAUUCAGAUACUUAUAGAUUGAAAUUUCUGAGGAAGAAAGAGCUAAGGACUUGAGAGAUUGGGGAGAGGGAGCUGGUCUAAAACCAGAACCCUUAAUAGACCUCACUGUAGUCCCUGAUGCCUUGUCAGGGUGGCAAGAUGCUUAACUGGUGGAGCUGCUUCAUUUAGCACCAGCAGAGAAGCCCACAUUAACUUAUAGACAAAAGCCAAAGCUGCCUUUCAGUGGUGAUUUGGAAAUAAAGAUGUGCCACAUGUCUGUUCCUUCUAUUCUUAAAUGCUUUGUUCACUUUCUUUCAAGUAAAAAAAAUCAUGCUCUA